CAUAUUUAACGUCAACCAUUCCAGCGGAGGGCCGACCCAUCAUCAAAGAAACUCCUUCUAUCCCUCGAAUUGAGCAAAACCUUCCGCACAUCCUGAGCUAAUCUGCAGUCCCUUAACACAUGAAGCAUAGGUUCCUUUUUCAAAGAACAAUGGUGACAGUGUGGAUCGUCAGUUAAAUUCCCACGCCAUCUAUUCUCAUUCGCCGUCAAUUUAUCAUGAG
rnacentral:lncRNA from 1 species